GUGUUGUAUGAAAGGAGAGGCUAGCACUCCCCUUGAGAAGGAUGGAAGAGGUCCUAGUGACCUUUUCAACACACAUAUGGUUAAGGUAUUGCCACUUACUUGGUGGCAUCUAUUCAAGGUAUUUG
ensembl:snRNA